ACGAACGCUGGCGGCGCGCUUAACACAUGCAAGUCGAACGGAAAGGCCUGCUUUCCCUUGUGGAUUGCGGGUACUCGAGUGGCGAACGGGUGAGUAACACGUGAGUGAUCUGCCCCCAACUUGGGUAUAAGCCUGGGAAACUGGGUCUAAUUCCCGAUAGGACUGCAGGGUGGUGCCUGUGGUGGAAAACGAUUUUCUAGUGGUUGGGGAUGAGCUCGCGGCCUAUCAGCUUGUUGGUGGGGUAAUGGCCUACCAAGGCGGCGACGGGUAGCCGGCCUGAGAGGGUGGACGGCCACAUUGGGACUGAGAGACGGCCCAGACUCCUACGGGAGGCAGCAGUGGGGAAUAUUGCACAAUGGGCGGAAGCCUGAUGCAGCGACGCCGCGUGGGGGAUGACGGCCUUCGGGUUGUAAACUCCUUUCGACCGCGAGGAAGCCACCUGGUUGGAAGGGUGGUGACGGUAGUGGUAGAAGAAGCACCGGCUAACUACGUG
rnacentral:rRNA from 1 species